rnacentral:lncRNA from 1 species
GAGAUCGGAUCAGCUGGAGUUGGACGGUGAUGGUUAGAUGACGGCGACAAGACCUAUAAAAAAAAUUUCUAACCGAAGGUGGGUCCGACAGAGAUCCUCCGAUGCUCAAGUUAGAAAUCCGAUAACAGAAAGGAAGAAGUGAGCGUAUUGAGAGAGAGGAGAUUUUAUACCGGAGGAUCCCUCUUUAUUUAUGAGCGAAGGUUGAAGAGCC